CAGCAGCCACGGUAAUACGUAGGGUGCGAGCGUUAAUCGGAAUUACUGGGCGUAAAGCGUGCGCAGGCGGUUGUGUAAGACAGGUGUGAAAUCCCCGGGCUUAACCUGGGAACUGCGCUUGUGACUGCACAGCUAGAGUAUGGCAGAGGGGGGUGGAAUUCCACGUGUAGCAGUGAAAUGCGUAGAGAUGUGGAGGAACACCGAUGGCGAAGGCAGCCCCCUGGGCCAAUACUGACGCUCAUGCACGAAAGCGUGGGGCGCAAACAGGAUUAGAUACCCGGGUAGUCCCUGUCUCUUAUAC
rnacentral:rRNA from 1 species